rnacentral:rRNA from 1 species
CGAGUGGCGGACGGGUGAGUAAUGCUUGGGAACUUGCCUUUGCGAGGGGGAUAACAGUUGGAAACGACUGCUAAUACCGCAUAAUGUCUUCGGACCAAACGGGGCUUAGGCUCCGGCGCAAAGAGAGGCCCAAGUGAGAUUAGCUAGUUGGUAAGGUAACGGCUUACCAAGGCGACGAUCUCUAGCUGUUCUGAGAGGAAGAUCAGCCACACUGGGACUGAGACACGGCCCAGACUCCUACGGGAGGCAGCAGUGGGGAAUAUUGCACAAUGGGGGAAACCCUGAUGCAGCCAUGCCGCGUGUGUGAAGAAGGCCUUCGGGUUGUAAAGCACUUUCAGUUGUGAGGAAAAGUUAGUAGUUAAUACCUGCUAGCCGUGACGUUAACAACAGAAGAAGCACCGGCUAACUCCGUGCCAGCAGCCGCGGUAAUACGGAGGGUGCGAGCGUUAAUCGGAAUUACUGGGCGUAAAGCGCACGCAGGCGGUUUGUUA